AUUAGAUUCAACUUUAUUUACUUAGUAGGUUCAAUUGUCACUGGGAUGAAGAGCAAGAGUUCAGUAGGGUGACAGCCACAGGAAGGAAGCUUCCUCUGAACCUGCUGGUAUGGCUGCGGAGAGACCUGAGCCACC